UACGUAGGGUGCAAGCGUUAAUCGGAAUUACUGGGCGUAAAGCGUGCGCAGGCGGUUUUGUAAGUCUGAUGUGAAAUCCCCGGGCUCAACCUGGGAAUUGCAUUGGAGACUGCAUUGCUGGAGUAUGGCAGAGGGGGGUGGAAUUCCACGUGUAGCAGUGAAAUGCGUAGAGAUGUGGAGGAACACCGAUGGCGAAGGCAGCCCCUGGGUCAAGACUGACGCUCAUGCACGAAAGCGUGGGGAGCAAACAGG
rnacentral:rRNA from 1 species